UUUCAGUUGUUUGCAUCUAUGCUGAAGACUGUCCCACCAACAACGUUCAACUGGAGUGUACACACUUGACGUGUUCAGCUGGCUAUACUUUGGCAUGUGUGAACAAUGUUUGUACUUGCAACCCUAACCAGGCUGCCUCCUGUACCACCCAAGCUGAAUGUUUGAGUAACACAAACCUACCGACCUGCCACCGAGGAUGGCAUUGUGUCGAUAAUGUAUGUCGAUGUGGUGGAAACUGGGGCAAAUAAUGUGACUGCAGUUAUUGCUUUCAAAAAAAAAUGUUGAAGCUAUUAAAAUAAAACUAUUGUAAGAAUUA